rnacentral:rRNA from 1 species
GAUGAACGCUGGCGGCAUGCCUUACACAUGCAAGUCGAACGGUAACAGGUCUUCGGAUGCUGACGAGUGGCGAACGGGUGAGUAAUACAUCGGAACGUGCCCGAUCGUGGGGGAUAGCGAAGCGAAAGCUUUGCUAAUACCGCAUACGAUCUACGGAUGAAAGCAGGGGACCGCAAGGCCUCGCGCGAACGGAGCGGCCGAUGGCAGAUUAGGUAGUUGGUGGGAUAAAAGCUUACCAAGCCGACGAUCUGUAGCUGGUCUGAGGGGACGACCAGCCACACUGGGACUGAGACACGGCCCAGACUCCUACGGGAGGCAGCAGUGGGGAAUUUUGGACAAUGGGCGAAAGCCUGAUCCAGCCAUGCCGCGUGCAGGAUGAAGGCCUUCGGGUUGUAAACUGCUUUUGUACGGAACGAAAAGACUCUGGUUAAUACCUGGGGUCCAUGACGGUACCGUAAGAAUAAGCACCGGCUAACUACGUGCCAGCAGCCGCUGUAAUAC